rnacentral:tRNA from 1 species
UAGCUCAAUCGGAUAGAGCGUCAGACUCUUACUAGGCAGUGGCAUCUGAAGGCUGCGAGUUCGACCCUCG